GUGGGGAAUCUUAGACAAUGGGGGCAACCCUGAUCUAGCCAUGCCGCGUGAGUGAUGAAGGCCUUAGGGUCGUAAAGCUCUUUCGCCGGGGAAGAUAAUGACUGUACCCGGUAAAGAAACCCCGGCUAACUCCGUGCCAGCAGCCGCGGUAAUACGGAGGGGGUUAGCGUUGUUCGGAAUUACUGGGCGUAAAGCGCGCGUAGGCGGAUCGGAAAGUGGGGGGUGAAAUCCCGGGGCUCAACCCUGGAAUGGCCUUCAAAACUCCCAGUCUUGAGGUCGAGAGAGGUGAGUGGAAUUCCGAGUGUAGAGGUGAAAUUCGUAGAUAUUCGGAGGAACACCAGUGGCGAAGGCGGCUCACUGGCUCGAUACUGACGCUGAGGUGCGAAAGCGUGGGGAGCAAACAGGAUUAGAAACCCGUGUAGUCC
rnacentral:rRNA from 1 species